CACCAGUGACCUCCUCGCUGCGACACACCGCGGGCAUAUAUAUCGAGACACUUCAUGCACACAUGUGCACCUCCGAUUAGCACAGUUGGCUACGUACUGUCCAAGAGUUCAACAUACAUACGUGUGAGCACUGCUCCCCUGAGUAGAUAGAAAGGAGGAUCUGUUUGAGCGGUGAGAGUUGAGAAUCGCAGCGAAAAUCUGCGAAGCCAGAACUCGGGGAACGGCGCCGCGAUGAUGCAAGCACACAGCUGGAACUCCCCGCAUCAUCACACGCACGGGGGGGCACCCCCGUAUCAUCACACGCACGGGGGGGCACCCCCGCAUCAUCACAAGCACGGGGGGGACACCCACCACGUGGCCGAACGGCCCCGUUGUGCGCACCCAUGCGGGAGGUCCCGUGCUCGUGGCGUCGCCGCUACCGCGGCCGCCGCCUGCGUGGCGCAGGGCACGGGCGACGGCGCAGGGCGCGGCGCUGCUGCUACUGAUGGCGCUGCUCGUCCUCUCGGUGCUGCCGCGACCCCUGCGCUACCAGGACGGCCACUUAAUAUCGACCUGGAAAACAGACGACGAAGCGAAUGCGCACGCACAAUGGCAAUCAAGGUCUAACUUCACGGAAUAUCUUGUUAACUCCCUCAAAGACAUGAGCGAGCUGCUCAAGAAAACCCCAACACCGAUCGCCCAUCUCACGUUGGCGCACAAUAAAGACACUACCACGCACAGCGUUAAGGUCCUGCAGUGGGACUGCAAAGUUACCCAUGGAGACGUCCUGAUGUCGGGGGGCAUGAAGUGCCACAACGACAAACGCCAUCUGAUCGUGCCCAAGAAAGGAACUUACAGCGUCACCGCUCGCAUUACAUUUCAUUGUCGUAACCCUACUGUUACACCAACAGCGAGUAUAAUGGUUUUGUCUAAGAAUUACAAUCUUCCAAGAGAACUCGUCAAGUCGUAUGCAUUUGGUCCUGUGACCAAAAGCACUGUGUGGACGUCUUUGUUUUGGGGACUUCACAAGUUGAAUGCCCUUGAUAGUAUUUCUGUGAAUGUGUCUGUGGAGAACGUCACAGCAAAAAAUGAGUUAACAUAUAUAAAUGUUUACCUACUGGAAGAGGAGAGUACUUGAUGUUGAUGAUAUUUCAUCAUGUAUUAUUAAGUAGCUAUACAUGUCUUGCAUUAAUUUACUGAGUUUCACAUCACCGUACCUCCGAUUAGUACGGUUGGCUACGUAUGGUGUGAAAGAAGUUCAACAACUUUGUGACACUUCUAAACAAUUAGUGGGUAAAAUACAGUCAAAGUAUUUCAUUACUAAUGCUUAAAUUAUCAUGUUUUUACAUAUUGAUGGUGUUGUUAGUAGUAAGAACUAAAUGUACAUGUAUUUUUAAUUAAGGUUUUAAACUAUCUUCAGUCAUAACCAUCUCAUCUCCCAAAUAACUCAGGAAUUUAAGGAAAAUUAGCCGUAUUUAAUAUUAUAUAUUUUGCACUGUGUUACAUUUAAAGUUUAUUUAUUAUACUCUGAUAAGCAAGUCGAAAUA